CUAAUCCACCCCAGGAUGCCAUUGGCCUUCCUGGCCACAAGGGCACAGUGCUGGCUCAUGGUCAUCCUGUUGUCCACCAGGACCCCCAGGUCCCUUUCCCCUACACUGCUCUCUAAUAUGUAAUUUCCCAACCUAUACUGGAACCUGGGGUUUUUCCUGCCCAGAUGCAGGACUCUACACUUUCCCUUGUUAAAUUUCAUUAGGUUAUUCCCCGCCCAACUCUCCAGCCAUUCUUUUGAAAGCCACAAGUUAGUUAGAACCUGCAGCGAGCUACUAGACUCCCCAAAAUUAUGUCGUAGCACAAUCAGCACAUAUUUCUCCACCGUAUCUGGUGUCACGGUGUCCCCUCCACCUGGUCCUGCCUUGCCCAGGAAUUCGCCUUCUCUGAUGAGCCAGAAACCUGCAAAUCUGGCUCCUCAGCCCCAAAAUACGACGUGUAUAAUACAGGAUUACCUGAAAGACUUUGCAGAAGGUCUCGUGGUGGCAUCUGCCUUCUCCUGCAGGGGUAAAUGAGGCAUGUGUGGUGGUCUGCAAGCAAGCGGUGGGUAGAAGACAGCAAAUGCAAAAGAUAUUGCAUCCUGUGUGAAAUUUUGCCUUCAAUGUCCAGAAAUAAAGGGAUUUUUCCUCCAGAGAAGGGGCGCUGUUCUGGAACCCAUUCAGACCACGUCCUAAACGCCAUCAGGGUGUCCCGCGAGCACAGGCGGCUCCAUUCAAACCGGGAAUGAUCACAGGCUUUUCUCCUUGAAAUGUCCUGACCCUCUCUCCCGCAGAGAACCGGCUCCGCAUCAAACGAAUCGGAAACGCCAUCAUUCGGAUUGCCGAGUCAAACCCGCAUGGGUCUUGUCACCCCAAAAAAGGACCACGCCGAACCCCACAGGACAGGCUGGGUCCUCGCUGUGUGAAGGAAGAGUCAAGCAGGUAAGGGGGAAAGGUUGUUCCAAAUCCCUGUUGCCUUUGGGAAAAGGAGUUACCCUGGCUGCACCUUCAGUGAUCCACCUCCAAACCCAAAACCUGCCUAUAAUCCAGUUUCAACACGUUUUCAUCCCAUUUCGAAGCCUUUCUUCAUGCCCACAUUUCCUCCGCAGUCGGUAAGUCCUAGCCCUCCUAUAAUAGAAAUGUCACUAAUGAUCAAUAUUUAAAGCGAUGCAAUGCUUAUCUUUAUAUUUACUACCCUGACCUUUAUAUAUUUGGAUUUUAUUUUAUGUUUUAUGUGGCCUUUUUCCGGAGCAAGAGCAACCGCAGCAGCUCCGGGAUUGCUGUUGCAUUAUAACUACGCACGCAGUACAUACAAUUACAGAACUUUAAUGCCUGGUAUAAUUACUGUCUGCAGUUCGCGUUAAUGCUCAGGGUGAUAUAGUGAAGCCAACAGCCCCGACACCGAGAGAUCUGCAUCCCAAGGGGUGACGCAAAACCGUCGCUUACGAUCCCGCCAUUAAUUAUUGCGCCUUGUGCGGAGAGGAUGAGGCUUUCCCGAAGCGUUUUGCACCCAGACUCGAUGGAAAAGCCGACACGGGAAUGACGUUGCGGUGCGUAAUGCUUUAUAACCAAGAACACGGCUUUGAUUUGCAUCUGGUAUUACGGAAAGGGAAAAAAUUAGGGGAAAAAGGGAUUGUUGUGGCUGGCAGCCUUGGCCAUUUAAAGGAAGGAGUUAAUAGGUUUGAUUGGACUGUGCUGAAAAGCCAAGAAAAGAAACGGAGAAGUGCUGAGGCAGCUCCUUGUUGUGGCUUUGAACUUGCAGCUUUGAAAAGAGGUGGGGAAAAUCUUAAGGAAUUAACGAGGACUACUGGGAAAUUACUCAGGAGGAACUUGAGUGCUCUCAGUUUGGAAAGAAAGAGAAAAAAAAACCCUUUAUAUAUAUAUAUAUAUAUAUAUAUAUAUAUAUGCAUUUGUAUGUAUGUGAGAGUGUGACCCCUUGGGCCGGCCGUUUGCCAUCACCUCGCUGAUUUUUUAUAACGAUGUAUUAAUUACGAGGUUGCUGGCAAGGGCAAGAGCUGCAUUUCUGCUGCUUGAGGGGCAAAUUCAGCCUUGAUCAGAAUAGCUCUCCUUUCAGGAAAUAGCACCUUUUUUUUUAUUUCGUCAAAAAAAAAAAAAGCCUCAAGAUAAAUAUUCUUGGAUGAAAAUCUAUAAAAAGCUCAGACUGACAAACUGGGUUUUUUUUUCGGCACUUCUUUUUCUCCCAACAAGAAUAUAUCUGUCAAGAGAAACAGAUGUUCUCUAUGAAAAAUCUUCUUUAAUUACAACUCUGUCAAAAAAACUGGAGACAGAUUUCUCUUCUUUUUCCCCCCCAAGUCCAUUAAAAUGUAUGCGAAUGGCCACGGUUUUAAAGCCACGGCUCGUAUUGUAAUAUAACAGUUAAAUCAAACAUCUCCCUAUUAAGCAGCCUGAGUAGCAGCAAAGCCACAAGUAAAAAUACACAGACAAAUCCAAGUUGGUUAAGGGCUGAUGUUUAAAGUGAGGCAUCAGGCCUAAACUUGAGCUUUCCUAGGCCGUGGUCUCUUUGGGGACCACAAACAACCCAAAUUUCUUCCGUCAGGGACUAAGGUGAGAUGAAUCCCCUCCAGAAUUUGGCAAAUCAAGCCAAAUAUUUGCAUCAUAAUAGCUGAAGAAGCGGCCAUUCUUUAAACCUCACGCUGUUCCUUCCGUGAUUCUCGCCGUGUGCGCCGUGAAUCUUAUUUUUUAGUAAAUCUUAUAUUAAAGGUCUAGCUAGCAGCCCUGGUUUCUCCAGCAGACGAUGGCAAUGAUGUGACAUAAAUGUUAAAAGAGUUUUCUCCAGCACAGCGGUUCCCCCAGGCUGGGAAUAAAGUUCUACUGGAGAUAGUGGCAGCAAUGCAAGGUUGGUAUUUCUUUAUUUAUUGGUUACAGUAAUUGGCCAGAACACGUCUGAGUAGGUGGAGGAAAAUAAUCAAUAGUUCUUGUCCACUAAUGAAUGAUUUUCCAGCAGUCGCCGGUGUAAAUAGGUUUCAUUAAAAUAGCAAAUCCUCCCAAACAAGAAAAUUAACGAGAGCUUAUGAAACCUAUGAAAUUGCCUGGGUCUGAAUUUCUGACAGAGGUGACAAAUAUCUGCUAUUGUUAUUUUUGGUAAACAGAUUUUCUUUUCAGUUUUCGCUCUUGUCACUUAAAUAAUAACAAUACUUAGCAAAUCCAUUAUUCCUCUCCCAGAAAUCUUGGAGUGCAAAAACGUGUCAGCCCCAACUCAGGGAAAAAUGUCCUAAUAAACCAGGAGUUUUAGGAGUUGAAUCACCAGCCCAGCCCAUUUAAAUCAAGCAGCUUUUCUUAAUUCCUGGGAAUAAAGUUGCUAAUUUUGCUCUUUCUUUUAGCAUCACUUCCAUUUAUUUUGUUCAGAGAAGAAAGCUCAAACGUGUAUUUGUUUUGGCCAGCCUGCAGUGUGGCUGCUUCAGCCCCAGGGGAAUGUCAAACACUUCAUCCGCAGCUCAAAAACCGACCCAAAAUUCUGAAGCCACUUGGUGAAAAGUUUCCUGACACAUUUUCUCAGUUUCUCGGUUACCGCUGGAAGAGUCCGGAGUCCUUGGGGGAGCAGCGAGGACGGUUCUGCAAGCGGCAAAACACUUGGUAACUCUCAGCGGCAGAGAAAGCUCUUGCUCUGCUUCUGGCUCUCAAAAUCAUCUCCUCAUUUUCUCAUCCUUCUUAUCUUUUCUCCUUCUCCUCUCUUCUUCCUCUUCUUUUUCUCCUCCUUCUCCCCCUUUUUUUUCUUCUCCUUGUUCUCAUCCUUUUCCUUCUUUUCUCCUCCUCCUCCUUUUUUCCUUCUUCUCAUCCUUCUCCUUUUCUCUUCCCUCCCCUUGUUGUCCUCCUUUUCUCCUCCUCCCCUUUUCUUCCUCCUCAUCCUGCUCCUUUUCUCCCUUUCCUCCUCCUUGUCCUCCUCCUUCUUGACCUUCUCCCCUUCUCUUCCUCCUUGUCCUACUCCUAUUCUCCUUCUCCCCUUCUCCUCCUUUUCACCCUUUUCUCCUCCUUGUUCUCCUCCUUCUUGUCCUUCUCCUUUUCGCCUUCUCCCCUUCUACUCCUUGUCCUUCUCCACGUCCUUCUCUUUUUCUCCUUGUCAUUCUCCUUCCCUUCUUCUCCUUUUCUCCUUCUUUUCUCCUCCCUUCUUUCCUCUUUUCCCUUCCCUCAUCCCCCCAGACCUCUCUCCCCCCAUCUUUCCUCCCUCUCCCCGUCACCCUCUCGAUGGACAAGGCUCAAGAGCAGGAGCAGGUUUGAGGCACCACGUGUCUGUGCAUCGACCAGACAGCAGAUGGGAAAUUGCUCUGGUAAUCUCCCUUCAACAGAGGUGCUCCCAUUUUUCACGACAGCCAGUCCUUUCGGGAUGUGGAUGAAAAGAGAAAGCAUUUCAUUUGCUCUUCGGCAACCGGAGCUAUAGAUCAAGGCCCUGCUCAUUCCCCUGAACACUAGAAAUGCAUUUUUUUGUGCAAGAAUUGAGGCUAUCCUCCGUGAAAACUAAAACAGUUACCUACACUUUCAUCUAGAGGUCAAGAGUAGAGAUUUUUUUUCUCCAAAAGCUGGAUAAAUCCAGGCUGUUGGUGCCUCUCCUUAGUUAUUGCUUUUUGCUACAUGAAGAUCAAGCAAACACCUCUGCUUCCCAACUUGCCUUGCCUGUUUGUACAAAUUGGCCAAACAUCUUCUUUGGUGAUGCAGAUGCCCAGGUCUGUUGAACCCUCGCAGGUGGCCCAGGAAAGGCUAUUGUUUUAGAGCACAACCCACAGCCGGGCACCUCACCCAUUGAGCCGGUAUGUUGGGUGGGUUUGGGAUGUCUUCUCCUCCUCCAGGCAGCUUGUCCUCCUGCCACUUGUCUUCUGCACCCUGGGGGCUGUUUUUGGGGAGAUGGUGACUCCAUCUGUUCAGGGAAAACAGAUCCUGGUGUUGCACAGACACCUGAGAACUGUCAUCAUGUAGCAGAAGAUAAAUCUUGACCUGUUCCCCAGGAGAGGAGUUGCCUCCAGCUAAAGCAUCACCUUCAUGCAGCCUCCACUGGUGUUACACUGGGGUUCCACUCUGAAAAGUGGCUGUGACUGGUUUGCACUGGGCAAGUUGGUGCAUUGCCCAGUGCUCAUCACCUUGUCUCAGCCACAUGGAGACCACAGCUCUCCAGCAGCCACCCAAGAGGCCAAGCGUGUGUGGGCAGAGUUGUCUUUGUGUACCAAAGAGAUCUGGGGUAAAUCUCCAUAGCUCAGGCUCAGCUUUGCGAGGAGACGGCUUUGCCACCAGCCACCCCAGUGCAUGUCCUGCCUUGGGAGUCACAGCUCUUGGGGACUUCCCAACACAGAGUCAUUUUGGUUGGAAAAGCCCCUCAAGACCAUCAAGUCCAACCGUUCCCCCAGCCCUGGCACUGCCCCAUGUCCUGAGAGCCUCAUCUCCGUCUGUCCAACCCUCCAGGGACGGUGACUCCAGCACUGCCCUGGGCAGCCUGUUCCAAUGCCCCACAGCCCUUUGGGGAAGAAAUUGUUCCCCAGAUCCAACCUCAACCUCCCCUGGCGCAACUUGAGGCCGUUUCCUCUGGUUCUGGCGCUUGUUCCUGGGGAGCAGAGACCAACAAGUUUCAAAGUUAGACAUUAGGAGAAAGUUUUGGAGUAUAGUGGUUGCUGAUCUCCAGAGGGUUCUCUUCCUCCUCUAGUUUUAAGAGGAGAAUCUCAUUACAGGGUGGGGGAUCAGGAAGGUGUAAGCCAAAGCUGGAUGUGUGUUUUGGCUUUUAGAGCAGCCUGUGUGCACCGUGUGAACCCCAAAGCCAAAGCUCACAGCUAACAUUGCAGCACGGCCUGAGCACGAGGAAUGUGAUUGCCCUUGGCUCUGCUAUAGGGGAAGCCACUUCCAGCCUCUUCCGCCUCUCCAGAGCAUCACAAAACAUUUAAAGACAGAAAAUGCCAUUCAGGUGACUUCAACCAGGGCCCUGUGGGCUGAACUCUGUGUCUUGACCUUCUCUUGGUGUUACUGUCGUGGCUACCACCCCUGUCACUGUCCCUGCUCCACUCACCUGGCACGGGUGCGAUGGGACUGGGGCCACUUCUGCUCUCUGGACCCAGUAUUGUGGCAGAUGCAGAAGCCAUUCUGCACUCUGAUCCUCGCAGCCAUAAAUCCUGUGCCACUGUCACAAGCAGUGAUUGAGCCUGUCUGGCAUAAUUUAUUCCUCUGGAGCCCACGCAGUUACAGCGGAGAUGAUCACCCGCUCAAGGAGCAACGCGCAGGAUGAAAUCUUCCCCUCCUGAGAGCUCCUAUGGAAAAACACAGCAGUGUCCAUAAACCGCCAGCAUCGGUAUAUACCAUAUAUCCCCACUUCCCUGGGAUGCUUUAACCCCCCUCCCAACCCUUUCUCCUGGCACCAUGCUCACGUUUCUUUGAAGAAAUGGAGGGAUGGAGCAGCCCCAGGGAGAAAUUAUUAAUUUUGGAGCCUCAGCAGCCUACCCAGCACUCAUGGCCUUGCAGCUCCAUCUCUAUAUCCCGGAUUUCAGCCGUUCUGCAGGGCUUUGCUUGGUGCUGAUGCCCCGAGAGAGUCUCAGCCUAUACUGUGGGAUGAAUAGUUUUAUCUAGGGAGAGAUGCCCCCCCAUCAUGUCCCCUGUUCCCCCUUGCUUGGCUCCUCCUGAAGUGUGCUUUAUUGUUUGUCACCUGAAGCACUUGGAAAAAAAUUACACAAAUCCAUCAAAGUAAUGAAUCUUCUCAGCAGUGGCAAAUAGACAGAGACAGACGGGUGCUCAUCCGAAACAAGCCAGCGUCAAAAAUUAAUACUAAAUAAACAGUUUGGCUCUGUUUCCGGGGUGGUUUGGGCAAGGGGAUGGGCAGGUGAUGGCCCUUGAUGUGAGCGCGACACUGGAGUAGGGACAUGUCUUCCUCCAGGUCCCUGUCACCAUUGUGGUGUCAAUGCAACACCUCCAUCCUCACAAACAUCUGGCAGCCCCGAUGAUGGAGCAACACACUGGUCAAUGCUACAUUAUUCUGGUGACUUAUGCUUAGGAUAGGGCUGCAUUUUGGGGGUGUCAGAGCCUCAUCACCCCCCUCCACCCUCAGCCAGUUCCCCCAGCCCUCUGGGUUCUCAAACCAGUUUGUGUCUGAGCAAGCGUGUAAACGCCUUAGGGGAGAGACCGUGCUUGCUGCUACGCCUGGGCACUGCUUGUCACAGCGCGGGCUCCAUAAAUAAUAAAUAGUGGCGGUUCUGGCUCCUCUGAGCUUUCAUUUUGUUA